GACGAACGCUGGCGGCGUGCUUAACACAUGCAAGUCGAACGGAAAGGCCCUGCUUUUGUGGGGUGCUCGAGUGGCGAACGGGUGAGUAAAACGCGAGUAACCUGCCCUUGACUUUGGGAUAACUCCAGGAAACUGGGGCUAAUACCGGAUAGGAGCUCCUGCUGCGUGGUGGGGGUUGGAAAGUUACGGCGGUUGGGGAUGGACUCGCAGCUUAUCAGCUUGUUGGUGGGGUAGUGGCUUACCAAGGCUUUGACGGGUAGCCGGCCUGGGAGGGUGACCGGCGACAUUGGGACUGAGGUACGGCGCAGACUCCUACGGGAGGCAGCAGUGGGGAAUAUUGCACAAUGGCCGGAAGCCUGUUGCAGCGACGCUGCGUGCGGGAUGACGUCCUUCGGGUGGUAAACCGCUUUCUCCUGUGACGAAGCGUGAGUGACGGUAAUGGGUAAGGAAGCACCGGCUAACUACGUG
rnacentral:rRNA from 1 species